rnacentral:rRNA from 1 species
GUGGGGAAUAUUGCACAAUGGACGGAAGUCUGAUGCAGCGACGCCGCGUGGGGGAUGAAGGCCUUCGGGUUGUAAACCUCUUUCGUCAGGGAAGAAGCCUUUUGGGGUGACGGUACCUGGAGAAGAAGCACCGGCUAACUACGUGCCAGCAGCCGCGGUAAUACGUAGGGUGCGAGCGUUGUCCGGAAUUAUUGGGCGUAAAGAGCUUGUAGGCGGUUUGUCGCGUCUGCCGUGAAAAUUCAGCGCUUAACGCUGGACGUGCGGUGGGUACGGGCAGGCUAGAGUGUGGUAGGGGAGACUGGAAUUCCUGGUGUAGCGGUGAAAUGCGCAGAUAUCAGGAGGAACACCGAUGGCGAAGGCAGGUCUCUGGGCCAUUACUGACGCUGAGAAGCGAAAGCAUGGGUAGCGAACAGGAUUAGAUACCCCAGUAGUCC